UUUAUUUUGGACUUAAAUUUAGUGGGCAUGGGCCUAACUAUUUAAUAUUUUUGGGCUAACACAUAAUAUUUCGGUUUAAACCGAAAACCCGAAAACCCGAAUACUAAACCCCGAACACCGAACCGAAUCCCGAAAUUUUUGAAAAUUUAAACCGAACCCGAACCGAAAACCCGAAAAACCGAACACCGAAAAACCGAAUUAAUUCGGUUCGGUCCGGUUUUUCGGUUUUCGGUAAUUAUGCCCACCCCUACCGCUCAUCACGCAAGCCAUGAACCAGAAUGCAGGAAUGCCUAUACUAGACCAUUUCCACAAUACUAAAAUUUAGCAGAAUAUUGAAUCUCUUGCCUGGAAAGAAGGGAAGGGAUGCAAAGGGAAAUCUCCGUCUUUAGGGUAUAAAGUGACCCCAAUGGCCUUUUUGGCACACCAAGGAAAACAAGCAAGAGAAAGUGCAAGGACACAACUUGUGCAACCAUCACCAUGAAAAAAGGGAGCUCAUCUACACUUUUUUGCUCUUUAGUAUACUGUUUUUACUCUAUAUUUGCAAUGAGGACAAUGCAACUUUUUAAAUUGAGGGAGGCUUCAUUUUGAUGGA